AGGGGACUCGGGUAGUGGCGCACGGGUGCGUAACGCGUGGGAACCUGCCUUUAGGUUCGGAAUAACUCAGAGAAAUUUGAGCUAAUACCGGAUAAUGUCUUCGGACCAAAGAUUUAUCGCCUUUAGAUGGGCCCGCGUUAGAUUAGAUAGUUGGUGGGGUAACGGCCUACCAAGUCGACGAUCUAUAGCUGGUCUGAGAGGAUGAUCAGCCACACUGGGACUGAGACACGGCCCAGACUCCUACGGGAGGCAGCAGUGGGGAAUAUUGGACAAUGGGCGAAAGCCUGAUCCAGCAAUGCCGCGUGAGUGAUGAAGGCCUUAGGGUUGUAAAGCUCUUUUACCAGGGAUGAUAAUGACAGUACCUGGAGAAUAAGCUCCGGCUAACUCCGCGCCAGCAGCCGCGGUAAUACGGAGGGAGCUAGCGUUGUUCGGAAUUACUGGGCGUAAAGCGCGCGUAGGCGGUCUAUUAAGUCAGGGGUGAAAUCCCGGAGCUCAACUCCGGAACUGCCCUUGAAACUGGCAGACUAGAAUCUUGGAGAGGCGAGUGGAAUUCCGAGUGUAGAGGUGAAAUUCGUAGAUAUUCGGAAGAACACCAGUGGCGAAGGCGACUCGCUGGACAAGUAUUGACGCUGAGGUGCGAAAGCGUGGGG
rnacentral:rRNA from 1 species